GGCUCUUCCAAGUAACCAAAACAUCUAGUUUCCCCAACAGAGAUCCAUCUGGUAUUUUGGUCAGUCGUGCCUCAUGGUAUAUAUGAAUAACCAGUGGUUUAAAUGGGGAACCACGUCUGCUUCUGGAAUCCUACCAAGUGGGAUCUUGGAGCAGGUUAUGCCGGAGGAAGCCUGCGUCACUCGCUGUAUGUGAAAGUGAAGUGUGAGGAGGUCGUCAUCACACUUACCUGUUGAGGCUUCUGAACUUACCGUCUGCCUCAACAGGCUGGAGUUUCUAAACUGCACGAAAAGCCCCAGCGAGUUGUCACCCAUCGCAGGUACCAGAUGCUCGGCCAUGCCCUCCACUCGGUGUUAUCCCAGCACUUACCACGUCGGCACAGUGGGGUCAGCAUGACAGUGCUCUCAUGGCAAAGACGGGGAGACCAACUUCCCCGUCACAGCAGGGACACAGUGGGCAGGGAUUUGAACCUGGAUUCGACGUCAGCGUCCACCGUCUUACCCACGGCGAGCCUGACGCAGGGAAGGUUUUACCUGUUCUUCCUCUUUCUUGUCCUCGGUUGUCCAGGCCUGGGUGUUCAGCACGUUCCCUCCAGUAAGUUUAGAGUGGCAUCUCUCCGAGGGCCAGACCCCGGUGAGGACGGACAUCUUAGCUCCCAUUCUGAGUGGAAGGAGAGAGGCUUGGUCCAGCUCUCAAAGCCUUCUAUGCCCACCAGGAAUCCAGGAAGACCUGGAGAGCCCGAAGCAGUAAACGGGAGAGGCGCUCCGUGGGAAACGCGGGCGGAGAGGGAGAACCUUUCCCACUGAAACCUCCAGCCCCGGCUUCUUCUCAGCCUUUGGCAGCUAUUAAAAAAAUUCCUUCAAUUUUUGCCCACUAAUGAUGCCCAUCAUUCUCUGGAACCUGAAUUCAGGAGCGUAGGCUCACAGCCCUGUCUUACAUGAUGUACGCUUUUUAUCUCAAAAGCGUUUUAUCUCAAAAAGCUGGGGCCAUUUGUACCCGAGAAGGGUGUAGCCAUAGGAACAUCUGCACCUAUACUUAGUAGAUAAUUAAGCCAGUUUUCUGGGUACUUAAUAGUUUUCUACUUCACGGUGUGUAGGUUAUACUUGGUUUUAGUUAUGACAGAUUGGGAUAAUAAGUAUAAAAGUAACCAUCUAAUUAACGGCUCCAUGUACUGUAUGAUUCUGGAAAGCAUUAUUUAGAAUUAUUGGAUCAGGUUAGGCUGUGGACAUACUGUGUCUGGAUUUUCCUAAGUUCUCUUAAAAAACGAGUUCAGACCAAUACAUAUAUUUAUGGGGGAGUACAUAAAGGCAGUCUGCAGAAUGCCCGUGUGGAGGCGUCUGGGCAGGAAUGCCAGUGUGGAUGCAUCUGGGUAAGGCUGGCGGCCUCAUGGAGGGAUGAUAGGUCAUUGUCAGUCGCUGUGGCUGAAUUAAGUUCACCCCCCAAUUCACAUGUUGAAGUCCUGACCCCUAGGACCUCAGAAUGUAACUGUAUUUGGAGAUAGGGCAUUUCAAGAGUUAAUUAAAGUAAAGUGAAGUAUUAGGAUGGGCCCUGGUCCCACCUGACCGGGGUCCUUAUAAGAAGAGGAGAUGAGGACACAGACACACCCAGAGGGCCGACCCUGCCAGGACCCAGGGAAGAGAAAGGGAAGGAGGCAUUGGAGAGAGCCAGCCCUGCCCACAUCUUGCUGUUGGUCUUCCAGCCUCCAGAGCUGUGAGAAAUAAACUUCUGUGUGUAAGCCCCCCA
ensembl:lncRNA